GGAGAGGUGGCAGAGUGGUUGAAUGUGGCGGUCUCGAAAACCGUUGUACGUGCAAACGUACCGAGGGUUCGAAUCCCUCUCUCUCCGCCA
rnacentral:tRNA from 4 species